UCAUCUACCAGACUAUAUUCAGCAUCUAUGACGGUACCCAGCACAUGAAAGGAGUCCCAGGUUUCAUUUUAGAGACUUAGCCCUGGAAAAGUCCCAUGGAAAAAAACAACUCUGCACAAAAAUGAAAUGGAGCAUGGAGCCUUAACCUUCAAUUCCACUUUUAUUUCCCCAGGAAUAUCCUAAAACAAAACACACUAUUUACCGCUAGGCUUCCUGAAGGCCACAUCACUGGUGAGCUGAGCAAAAAUGGCAGUCUAAGAGGGACGCAUCAGCUACAAAAUGCUACAAAAUCAAUGACAAGAUGAGAGAUGUAACCUAAUCCAGCUCUACAAGAAAGGA